rnacentral:misc_RNA from 1 species
CUGUGUGUCAAGUUGACAAGGG